rnacentral:misc_RNA from 1 species
AGCAGGAGAUAAGGAGUACCGAUGGACGAAACUGAAAAAAAAAAAUGAGGUAUGUUUGCUCAGUUACACUUGUUUUAUGUUGAGAUUUCCAGUGCCUGUAUUGCUUUGGCAACAUUAAACCCUGAUUGAAGACUUACUAGGACAAUAUUUAGAAAUUAGAAGUCUUCUUUCCUGUGGGGGUUCCCCUUGAAUUUAAAAUCUUUAUUAUGGUUUCCAUGUUUCUUCAACAUGGGAAAAAUGGUUUUUUGGUGUUUGGAAAUUUGAUGUGCAAAUUAGGAGUGUGCACAAUUUUUACCUUCUCUCAAUUAAAUUGAAA